rnacentral:rRNA from 1 species
UACGUAGGGGGGCAAGCGUUGUCCGGAAUUAUUGGGCGUAAAGAGCGCGUAGGCGGUCCGGUAAGUCGGUUGUGAAAGUCGGGGGGCUCAACCCCUCGGAUGCCGAUCGAUACUGUCGGGCUAGAGUCCGGAAGAGGCGAGUGGAAUUCCUGGUGUAGCGGUGAAAUGCGCAGAUAUCGGGGAGGAACACCCAGUGGCGAAGGCGGGCACUCUGGGCCGGAACUGACCGCUGAGGAGCGAAAGCGUGGGGAGCGAACAGGG